rnacentral:rRNA from 1 species
UGGCUCAGAACGAACGCUGGCGGCAGGCCUAACACAUGCAAGUCGAACGGUAACAGGGAAGAAGCUUGCUUCUUUGCUGACGAGUGGCGGACGGGUGAGUAAUGUCUGGGAAACUGCCUGAUGGAGGGGGAUAACUACUGGAAACGGUAGCUAAUACCGCAUAACGUCGCAAGACCAAAGAGGGGGACCUUCGGGCCUCUUGCCAUCGGAUGUGCCCAGAUGGGAUUAGCUAGUAGGUGGAUGUAACGGCUCACCUGGGAGACGAUCCCUAGCUGGUCUGAGAGGAUGACCAGCCACACNGUAACUGAGACACGGGACCGACUCCUACGGGAGUCAGCAGUGGG